AAAUGUGUAAUAGAAGCCAAAUAUGGAGCAGUUGGCUGCCGCCGCCGCAGCUCAAGGAUCCGACUUCAUGGGGGUGGGGGGCACCCUCUGGCGGGCGGCCCGGCGAGCCGCACAGAGCACGGCGAGCGCACCGCGCGGCGGCCGGCCCGCGCCCUUAACCCUUCGCUGCGCGCCGCCCGGGGAGGCGGGCACCUUUCCCAAAGAGUGGCUCGGGAUGGGGUGCGGGGGAGGGGAGACGCGGACCGGAGGGCAAGGUUCCUUCCAGUGGGCGAUGAGGUAAUUUGAGCGGUGACGGGUCGGUCCUCGCGCGCCUCCCUGGGUCCCUGCACCUAGUUGGAGGGGACUGAACGACAACGGGGCGCUACUCAGGCAACCUGGGGGACUCCCCCAAGGGCUGUCAGGCUUCAGCUGGGAGCCGAUGCAACACCCCAGCGGGGAGGGGAGGUCGGCCCAUUCUAAUCCCGACGUGUCCUUGGUCCCAGGCGCUCGGAGCAGCAUCUGAGAGGGCUCACUCUGAUCAUCAGCUGCACGUUAAGCCACAAACCGGCGUCGCUUCGGCGUUCCGGAACCCAGGCCUGGGGGCCGCGGGGAUUGCCUCUGCGUGCAACUCCGGAAAGUUUCAAGGGGUCCCCCGACUGCACAGGUCCGGAAAUCGGCUUUGAUAUGGAACUACUCCGCUCUAGCCUGGAAAGGAGACCCGCGCACUCCUCUCGCAGCUAAUUUCGGAUCAUUAAUUUAAUCGGAAAUGAGGUAACCAGUGUAGGAGACAGAGAAAGCAACCGGAGCAUCAAAUGGCAGUUCUCGAGAAUCGACGAGGAACUUAAAUCUGGACUCAGGGUUUCAGUGCGGUCUCCGACUCCCACCACCCCGCCCCUCCGCCUGUCUCGCCGCCAGGUGUGACCUCCACGCGAAGGAAUCUUCUUCGGAUGGGUGCACCUUGCCAACAGGUGUGGCACCUGGAGGACUAGGAGGCGCCUCCAGACUAAGGGCGCUCAGUGCGGCGUUCUUGUUGCAGAUGAUUCUGGAAGGCCGGUAGGUGUCGGGCGACAUUUGACCUUCUUCAGGUGCUUAGAACUAAGUGUCUGGAAACAUGAUCCUUUCGCGUAAGUUUCUUUCUGAAAGCCACCAAUCUUGACUGUAAGCUGUAUUUGAGAGAUCUUUUGGCUGAGUUUACUUAUGACCUAACGGUUAGUCACCAACUGAGGCAGGGCACAGGAUGACCAAAAAAAAAGUGUCAGUUUUUACACAACUCUGGCCUGCAAGAGCCCCUCUAGUGGACAGUUAACAUCAGUUUCCUGAAAAGGCUCUGACUGGUUUUGUUUUCGUUGACAAGCUUUGUCAAGGUGAAGGUUAGUACGUAAGAGCAUAACCGGGUAAAAUGUCCCCUCACCCCUAUCCUCACCCCCGCCCCCAACACCCUGCUUGGCAAAGACGACUUCAGAAAGGAGCAGAAGCUUGUUGGCUUUAUAUAGAAAAGACGUAUGCUUUGUGCUGCAGGUAUUAUUAUUACUGGACUGUGAAUAAACAGAAAGCUUCUGCUAUUCAUUUCAGUUUCAGACAGCUUUCAUAAAAACUAAAUUCAUCUCAAAUAUUUUUAUAACAGAAAAUAUUGGUUGCCAUGUUUUUGGCUUAACUGCGAUGUUUUUAUUCCAACUCAUAAUCUGCAAACUGUCCAAUCCACCUCCACUCUAUUUUUAGACAUCUUACAUUUAGAUAAUUUUCAGUUAAAAAAAAGCUAAUAUUGUAAUUUUACGUUGGCACAAGCAGUUAAUUUACGUGAUUUUAACAACCUUAAAUUAAAACACAUAAUUCAGAUUACAGUUAGUCAAUUAAUUUAAAUGUUCUCUCAAGGAAGCUAAAUAUGUAUAUUACCCAAAUGGUAAAAACAAUUAAUAAGAAAUGUGUCAUUUACUUUCUUAGCCAUUAAGUUUAAAGCCAUAAACUGCCACCAAAAUCUGUAACUAUUUCUUCCUGCAAGAUCCAACAUAAACACCAUACUCAUGAAACUGUCUCAUUACCUUUAGUACUGAAAUAUUUUGUUUUCAGAUGGCAAAAUAUUAAGUGUACAAUCACAAAUAACAGGCACUGAUUCUUUAGAAACAAGACUUUCUCGUGCAAAUAAAAACUCAAUGAAAAAGGGCAGAGCUUCCAAGAAGCUAGUAGACAAAUAUAUAGUACUAUAGUCCUACUCAUAAGGCUGGUGUUAUGUUUGUAAAAGCAUAAGUCAACCUUUGAAAUUACAGGAAAUCGAUAAAUAAGGCCUGAUGAGCUUGACUCGUAUCCUGUGUCAUAGAUUGCUUAAAUACCAUGAAAAAUAAUUGUAAUCACAUAUCUAUUUUACUGUUUUGGUGGUAUCUACUCUUGAAGGUGUUAAAUGGGCCAGCAAGUAUAUAUUAUAUAAUUACAUAUUACACCCUUACUUAAAGUGUAGUUUUCAAAGUCGCCACAGCAGCACUUGGGAGCUUUUUAGACAUUCAGAGUCAAGGGUUCUACCCCAGACAUACCAAAUCAGAAUCUGCCUUUGAACCAGGCCCCUGGGUGAUUUCUAAACACAUUAUCAUGUGAAGAACACUGGUCUAUACCACAGGGAUCAACCUAAAUAAAUUUGGGCACAAGUGCAGAAGUUAAUUCCUCUAUUUAUUUCUUUUUUGCUCCUUUUUAGUAAGUACAGCCCUUAUUAAUUUGUGCUUUUCAAUGAAAAAUUAUUAUGUUAUAUGCUUUGGAUAAAUACUACUGCACUGUAAGUGCACACAUCUGCAUCAUUAUUGCCAAAAAAGAAUGCUCUGCUGAGGAAUGUACUGGGGUCUUGAACAUGAACAUUUUCUUCAUGGCAGCAGAGGGAGCACAAGAGUGCUUAAUAAAACCAGUGCACAGGUCUCUCCAAAUCAUGACAGAUUUUACAUUGUAGUAUAUGUUUUCAUUGGAAGUAGCCUGUUAUGUAGUUCAAAAUGAAGCAAAUCAACUGAGCAAACACAGAUAGGCUUACCAGGUCAUAACAACUAUGUAACUGAACAGAUUGAAAGUUGAAUAAAAUAAAGAUAAACUUCUUUAGAGUUUUAGGCUUGAAUUCUUAAAAGAAAGUGGACCUCAAAAGUGAAAAAGAUGCCUUAGCUUUGCUCAAAAACAAAGAUAACACAACACAGAAUCAGGCAACCCUAAGAUGCCUUAGCUUUACUCAAAAACAAAGAUAACACAGAAUCAGGCAACCCUAAUAGUAGCUCCUGUUUAUCUAAAAACAGAGUCAGUUCACUGGACCCUACAUCAGGUAACUUAAUUUCAUUUGGUGUCAUACAUGUUGGUUAAGGUCCAUGCGCCUUUUGCUGUGUUUACACUCAGAAUAAUUUUAGGGGUUUCUCCUUAAUGCUUGCAGUGGUGAGGAUUUAGGUUUCAGUUAUACCUACGUAGUAUUUCAUACUUUUCACUACUCUUCCAUAUUGCAUCCUCAAAAACUCCCUUGAAGCAGAUAACAUACUUGGUAAAAGCCAAGUAUCCAAAAAGUUAUGGAACCACAUCGUGCUUUCAUAACAUUGAGUCAUUUAAUUGUUUCAGUAGUGCUUUGAGGUAUUCAUAAAUGAGGGAAAUUAUACAGACUAAAGAUCCAGAGCAUUUUUUACAGUUUUAAAGGUUUUUCAAAGUUAUUCUUAGAUAAUAUGUUUAUAUAUUUAUUAUUUAUUUACAAGCAGUCACUUACUCUGCAUCUACAAUAACUAAGACUUGAGAAUAUAAAAUUGAGUAAGACAUCUUAGUGUGCAAGGAGAUCAGAGCAGAACAGAUCUUACCUUUGGAAAACUGUUAAUUUUUACCACGUUGAAACACAAAGAUUCAUAGUUGAUGCGAUCCAGCACCUGCCAGAAUCAUAGCAAUCAGACUUCCAAAUAUGAGAAUCAAACAUUAGAAUCAUUAAAAAUUUGAGAGGCGGGGGGGACAGUUGUACAACUCUUGAGCAAAAGUUGACUUAUAAGCUAAUAUUAAUAUUUCAAAUUUGUACGACAAACAAAUGUGAAGAUAUAAUGUGUAUUUUAUUUGAAUGUCUUCCCUAUCACAAAAUCACAUGAGUAAGUUGAGUUGGUAAACAUUUAUUUAUUUUUAUCUUUUCUAAAAUGCUGAAAAGAAUUUUUCUCCCACACUAAAGAGGGUUUGCCAAGUUUCUGCCUGGAGCAAUUUGUUAUGGCUGUGUAAUAAAUCCCAGAAAGUUUGAAUUUUUAAUGGAAACACUGACAGAAUAAAGAGGGUGUAAUCCUACAUAUGUCAUUUAAAAAUCUGAGCAAACCAUAGUGUGCUUGCAAAACAAAUAUACUUUCCUUAGAUUGCACUCACAAAUAAGGCUGGGGAGACCACAAAAGUAAAACAAACUCAAAAGUGAAAAACACUCACACAAUAGACUCUGAGGUCAGCUCACCACACCCAGACUAAAGUCACUGGGCUCUGUGCGUGUCACCAAGACUCUUAAAAGACAUACUUCUGAAUCAUCUUUCUUGACCCUCCACCAAACUGUAGCAAGACAGGCUUCCUGGGAAUGAAAAUGACAUUAGCAUUAGUCAAGAGUGAAAUUAAAGUCAUUGUACUCAAACAUCUGCCAACAGUCUGUGAUUUCAUAGUACCCACCUCUGAAAUAAGACUCUGUCUACAAUUAAAAACAAAGAAAAAAAGGUACUUUAGGUCUUCACUAUCCACUAUGUCUACUGAGCACUUGAAAUGUGUGAUUAGUCCAAAUUAACAUGUGCUGUAAGUGUGAAAUAUUCCUCAGAUUUUAAAAACUUGGUAUAAAAAAUACAUAUUUUACAUAUAAUAUAUAUUAUUCAUUAUUCCUAUAUUAUUAAUUUUAUGUAUUAUAUAUACACACAUGUAAUAUCUCCAUUUUUACAUUGAUUAAAUGUUGAAAAUAUUGGGUUAUUUUUUAAUAGUGUACAUUGGGUUAAAUAAAAUAUAUUAUUAAACUUCAUUUUACCUGUUUCUUUUUACUUUUUUUUUUGAGACAGGGUCUAGGUCUGUCACCCAGGCUGCAGUGCAGUGCAGUAGUGCAGUCUCUGCUCACUGCAACCUCCACCUCCUGGGCUCAAGU
rnacentral:lncRNA from 1 species